rnacentral:rRNA from 1 species
GACGAACGCUGGCGGCGUGCUUAACACAUGCAAGUCGAACGGAAAGGCCCUGCUUUUGUGGGGUGCUCGAGUGGCGAACGGGUGAGUGACACGUGAGUAACCUGCCCUUGACUUUGGGAUAACUUCAGGAAACUGGGGCUAAUACCGGAUAGGAGCUCCUGCUGCAUGGUGGGGGUUGGAAAGUUUCGGCGGUUGGGGAUGGACUCGCGGCUUAUCAGCUUGUUGGUGGGGUAGUGGCUUACCAAGGCUUUGACGGGUAGCCGGCCUGAGAGGGUGACCGGCAACAUUGGGACUGAGAUACGGCCCAGACUCCUACGGGAGGCAGCAGCGGGGAAUAUUGCACAAUGGGCGGAAGCCUGAUGCAGCAACGCCGCGUGCGGGAUGACGGCCUUCGGGUUGUAAACCGCUUUCGCCUGUGACGAAGCGUGAGUGACGGUAAUGGGUAAAGAAGCACCGGCUAACUACGUG